rnacentral:tRNA from 1 species
GGUUUUAUAUUCAAUGAUGAUAUUAGAAUGCAAUUCUAAAGGAAUAGAUUAUCUAUUAAGACUU